ACAUCCAGAGAAUUUGGCAGAGAUGCCUUAGUGCCUUCGGGAACUCUGAGACAGGUGCUGCAUGGCUGUCGUCAGCUCGUGUUGUGAAAUGUUGGGUUAAGUCCCGNAACGAGCGCAACCCUUAUCCUUUGUUGCCAGCACGUAAUGGUGGGAACUCAAAGGAGACUGCCGGUGAUAAACCGGAGGAAGGUGGGGAUGACGUCAAGUCAUCAUGGCCCUUACGAGUAGGGCUACACACGUGCUACAAUGGCGCAUACAAAGAGAAGCGACCUCGCGAGAGCAAGCGGACCUCAUAAAGUGCGUCGUAGUCCGGAUUGGAGUCUGCAACUCGACUCCAUGAAGUCGGAAUCGCUAGUAAUCGUAAAUCAGAAUGUUACGGUGAAUACGUUCCCGGGCCUUGUACACACCGCCCGUCACACCAUGGGAGUGGGUUGCAAAAGAAGUAGAUAGCUUAACCUUCGGGAGGGCGUUUACCACUUUGUGAUUCAUGACUGGGGUGAAGUCGUAACAAGGUAAGCGUAGCGAG
rnacentral:rRNA from 1 species